rnacentral:rRNA from 1 species
CCUACGGGAGGCUGCAGUGGGGAAUAUUGCACAAUGGAGGGAACUCUGAUGCAGCGACGCCGCGUGAGUGAAGAAGGAAUUCGGUAUGUAAAGCUCUAUUAGCAGGGAAGAAAGUGACGGUACCUGAAAAAGAAGCUCCGGCUAAAUACGUGCCAGCAGCCGCGGUUAUACGUAUGGAGCAAGCGUUAUCCGGAUUUACUGGGUGUUAAGGGAGGGUAGGUGGCAUUGCAAGUCCGAAGUGAAAACCCAGAGCUCAACUAUGGGAAUGCUUUUGAAACUGCGCAGCUAGAGUGCAGGAGAGGUAGGCGGAAUUCCUGGUGUAGCGGUGAAAUGCGUAGAUAUCAGGAGGAACACCGGCGGCGAAGGCGGCUUACUGGACUGUAACUGACGUUGAGGCGCGAAGGCGUGGGGAGCAAACAGGAUUAGAUACCCGUGUAGUC